rnacentral:rRNA from 1 species
UACGUAGGGCGCAAGCGUUAUCCGGAAUUAUUGGGCGUAAAGAGCUCGUAGGCGGUUUGUCGCGUCUGCUGUGAAAGUCCGGGGCUCAACUCCGGAUCUGCGGUGGGUACGGGCAGACUAGAGUGAUGUAGGGGAGACUGGAAUUCCUGGUGUAGCGGUGAAAUGCGCAGAUAUCAGGAGGAACACCGAUGGCGAAGGCAGGUCUCUGGGCAUUAACUGACGCUGAGGAGCGAAAGCAUGGGGAGCGAACAGG